GGAUGCGAUCAUACCAGCACUAAAGCAUCGGAUCCCAUCAGAACUCCGAAGUUAAGCGUGCUUGGGCGAGAGUAGUACUAGGAUCUGUGACCUCCUGGGAAGUCCUCGUGUUGCAUUCC
rnacentral:rRNA from 1 species